GAUGAAGAACGUAGCGAAAUGCGAUACUUGGUGUGAAUUGCAGAAUCCCGUGAACCAUCGAGUCUUUGAACGCAAGUUGCGCCCGAAGCCAUUAGGCCGAGGGCACGCCUGCCUGGGCGUCACACGUCGUUGCCCCCCCAUCUACUCCUUCGGGAUUGCGGGGGGCGGAUGAUGGCCUCCCGUGCGCCUCGUCGUGCGGUUGGCAUAAAUGCCAAGUCCUCGGCGACGCACGCCACGACAAUCGGUGGUUGCGAAACCUCGGUUGCCCGUCGUGUGCGGUCGUCGCGCAUCGAGGGCUCGAAAAAAUUGCCGAGUUCCGGCUCGGCUUUCAACGCGACCCCAGGUCAGGCGGGGUUACCCGCUGAAUUUAAGCAUAUCAAUAAGCGGAGGA
rnacentral:misc_RNA from 1 species